GAUGAACGCUGGCGGCGUGCCUAAUACAUGCAAGUCGAGCGAACGGACGAGAAGCUUGCUUCUCUGAUGUUAGCGGCGGACGGGUGAGUAACACGUGGAUAACCUACCUAUAAGACUGGGAUAACUUCGGGAAACGGGGGCUAAUCCCGGUAAAUUUUUUGACCGGCUGGUUCAAAAGGUGAAAGCGGUUUUUGUGUUACUUAAAAGUUGAUCCCGGCCUGAUUAGGUAGGUGGUUAGGGAACGGCAUAACAAGGCAACGAUGCAUAACCCACCUGAGAGGGUGAUCGGCCACACUGGAACUGAGACACGGUCCAGACUCCUACGGGAGGCAGCAGUAGGGAAUCUUCCGCAAUGGGCGAAAGCCUGACGGAGCAACGCCGCGUGAGUGAUGAAGGUCUUCGGAUCGUAAAACUCUGUUAUUAGGGAAGAACAUAUGUGUAAGUAACUGUGCACAUCUUGACGGUACCUAAUCAGAAAGCCACGGCUAACUACGUG
rnacentral:rRNA from 1 species